UGCUACAUUCACGUCGAGCGCCGGAAAAUCGUGCGAAGUGCCAGCUUGAAAAGAUUUCAGUGGGUUGAAAAUAAUGGCAUGAUACCGUGAAAUCAGCAUAAUGACACUGUGAAUGAUAUCAAUUAGUACGUUCACUUAUUGACGAAAUUCAUCUGCAGUGGAUAAAAACUGAAUCCCACUGUUAAAACGUGUUUGACUACUUAGUAACGUGACAGUUCGGAACGGAAUACGUCAGCUGAGCAUUGGGCGCUUGGAUAAAAAUCAGGUAGAGGCAGACACUUUACCGUCGCUCGUAAAUAUAACAUAAAAUUACAGAGGAGUAUAGACUGUUGAGCAAGAAUUAUGGUAUUCGUGAAAAAUGAUUGAAUAACCAGAAGUGUGAUACGCGUGGGAAGAAAAUAAGGAUUGCUUGCGGUUCGUUCAUCCCACCGUUAUUCCCAGGAUCUCAAAGGGGGCGUUUCAUUGGUCGACACGACGUAAGAAGAGACGAGAUUGGCCGGUACUGUGUUAAUAGUAUCACCUAACCGAAUAACGAGCCUAUCCGAACAGAAGGAAGUAAAAGGUUCAAAGAUUUUUCGAGGGUUUAGUUUGGCUGGGCGUACGCGCUUUUUGAAUGGUUCUCUCUGUAUCACGAGGAUGGAACUGGGUGUAAAUCGAAUGAAACAAUGGAUGAAUUCUUCUUUUUACUGUCCUCAAUGCCGCUUAUCUGGCAGACACGUUAUUAAGCGUCGAUAUGCUGCAGCACGAGUGUCCAAUUAUGUAAACGACCACCAGGUGAUUUUACCUGGAGUCUUCGUAGCAGAGCUGAUUGAUUAUACCAGAGGUAUAAUCUGUAAUUUUCAAUUAAUUUUCUUGAAUUUUCAUGAGAGCGUUCCUGGACAAGGUAAUAAGGCUCCCAUGCCAUCCCCUAGGGUCUAACGAUACAUUUUGUCAAACCAACGAAGCCCUGAGUGACACGUGGCGGCGCGUGGCAAUAAAAUCGCCACGUCCCAUUUUGGCAAUUUCACCUUUUAUUUAAUUAGCCUUAUUAGACUAACCUAAAGCGAAUCGCUCUGUGCAUUUAAUUUAAUUCAAGCCAAAGCCAACGCACCGCAUUUCAUCCCCCUGCAGUAAGUUACAAUGAAGAUCUACUUAUAAUGAAGAUAUCAUGAAGUCUGUAAAUGCUGAGUUGCGAAGGAAAAAUUUUAAUUAACCAGUCCUACCAGCAGCGAAGGACAAGGGAGAGCAGGGAUUGAAGAGAAAGAGAAGUCUGGUGAAAAUAGUUGCAGGGGUUGUGCGUAUAUAAAUGUAGAAACCCCCGAAGCGUGGAAUAGUACUCCAGGAUGGCAUCAAGUUCCAUUGACGCAUACACUAGCUCGCAAACAGAUUCCCAGAACGUACAAAAGGCCUAUGUAUACUUGACUGGUGACCCAUGACACAAUAAAUAGGGUGAGAACCCCUGGGAUUGGGAGCAUGGGAAAAGUUGACGUUGUGUUUGUACUAGAGAUCUACCAGGCGAAUAAUGUAAUGCAGACAGCUCUAUUGAAACGUAUCUAAUAUAUCUGUCACCGUAUCGCAGCCUUUAUUUGGUCAAGCCUAAGGCAAGGACUUGAUUAAAUUAUCGAACGGAGUAUUAACACCAGAAAGAGGUAUCUACAUUAGAAAUCUAUUAGAGACUCCGAAACGCUUUUGACCAAGAUCUCGAAAUCUUUUCUUUACCUCCAACCCCGUCUAUGAGUGAACGAGUGCCCCGCACUUUCGACACUUGUCGGUAAAACUUCAACGGUCUUUACUGCGAUUUCACUCAAGAGGGUCUCAUUUCUCGUUAAGCCGCGGACAAUGCAGCAAAUGAACCGAAUUUGCAAAACUCUGAAUCCCACUGGCGCGUCUUUCAAUGGUCUUAGUGGCCGCGGUACCUAGGCGUUAGAACUAACACCAUUCAAGGUGUCAAGAUGAAGAGGUUGAGACCUCAGCAGGUACUCGAAAGAUCCCUGAGGAGUUCAUUAUGAAUACCUGGACGGCGGUGCUAUUUGUGGACAUAUUUUUUUUCCUUUUUUUCUUUAAAAGUAUCUCCUUAUACUUACUGUAAUACAGACUGGCAUUAGAAACCGAUAGAAAAUAUAGGUAAUAGGUACGAGUUAAGAUAAGCUAUAGAUACUGUGAAAGAAUCUUUUUUGUUUCUUUUCAACAUUUUUUUUUUUAGGUACAUGUAAAACGUUAGAUAAGGGAUAAAAAUGAGCGGUAGGAAGGUGAAAAAGAAUUUUACAAAGUAAUUAUAUAAUUUUUGGAUUAUUUGGUUUCGUGUCACUUUGUGAUUUACUUGUUUAGAGUUGGUAAUUUUUUAAAAUGGUUUUUAUUAUAUAAGUCAAUUACUAUUUGGUAUACAGGGUACAGUACACUGACGUCAUAGUACAAGUAUCGCUACAAGAAUACAGGGCCAUCUGUGAAUUUUUGUCGACAAUGAUUUCAGCCGAUGAGCCUGACUGGUCUAUUGUACAUGAAUUCAGCCCCCUCCCAUAGGGGUGGAAAAACGCUUUCAAAUGAUUCGGUAACGAUUUAAAUUGUCCUGACAAUCGUCAAUCCCUUCUGUCAUAUGAGUGGAUCUUUACGCUAUUCAAGUAUCUCAUUACGUCAUAUCAAUAGAUUACAUAUGAAGGAUUAUCAGGUAUAAAAGAAAAUACACUAGAUAAUUUUACCAAUGACUCCGUUAAAUCAUCAAUCGAUUUCCCCCACAGUGUCUGACAAGAUAAAAAUUCAAAAAAUAAAUAUUUUCC